UACGAAGGGGGCUAGCGUUGUUCGGAAUUACUGGGCGUAAAGCGUGCGUAGGCGGUUUGUUAAGUCCGCUGUGAAAGCCCUGGGCUCAACCUGGGAAUUGCAGUGGAUACUGGCAAGCUAGAGUGCGGUAGAGGAUGGUGGAAUUCCCGGUGUAGCGGUGAAAUGCGCAGAUAAUCAGGAAGAACACCCGUGGCGAAGGCGGCUCACUGGCCCGAUACUGACGCUGAGGCACGAAAGCGUGGGGAGCAAACAGGAUAGAACCUACGGUAGUCAAGACCAAGUCCUCUGCAC
rnacentral:rRNA from 1 species